CCAAACAUGAUAGGCAUGCAGGAAUGUAUGGAUAAAAAUGCAAUGAAAAAAAGUAUAAUUACAGAGUCAUAUACCAGUUUGACAUUUACAUUUUUCAGGUAAUAAUGUUGUCACUCGGGGUUCCCACACGUACCCAUUCACCUUUCAAAUCCCCCAAGUAAACCUGCCGUCGUCAUUCAAGGGCUCAUAUGGAAAAAUCAAGUACACUUUGGAGGCAAAUCUGAGCAGGUCGAUGAGAACUGACUGCAAAGCCAAAACUCAUUUCCGUGUCAUUAAUAAAAGACACAGUGACGCGUUUUUGACGUCUCCACAGCAAGGCAUCACUGAGAAGAAAAUGAACUUCUUCUCUUCAGGAACAGUUCAAAUGGAAGUAAAUAUCGAGAAAACUGGCUUCUUUCAAGGUAAGAUGUUGUCUUUCAGGGUGCAUUCAGAAAUUCACUCUGACGCCAGAACACAACUCUGAGAGUGGGGUCUUUUUUGGGGGCACUCUGAAAAACCAAAUGGCAUAUUUGAACAACGCUCUGAGUAUUCCAAAUGUCGCAGUGAAGCAGAACAUGCU